AAAGAAAAAUAAUUAGGAAAGAAAAAGUUAAAGUUUGUACCUUUUGUAUUAUGGUUUAACAAGGUUAUGCAAAUAGUAUUUUAUAACCCGAAGCUGAGCGAGCUAGUAUACUCUGCUUUAAGAGAAAGAGCUUUUACUGUUGCAAUAGUAAGGUUUGAGGGUAUAUUAGAUGUGAAAUGCUAAUCGUGUUCAGAGAUAGCUGGUAUUCCUAGAAAUAAGUGUUAGCUGAGUAUAUGUUUUUAUUAUAAAGUAUUAUUUUAUAGGAUAAUAAAGUAUUUUUGAUAAUAAUAUAGUUGUAAGACAGAAAGGGAUAAGCUUUUCUGUCAAUAAAGAAAAAGCUUUGUUUAUUAAUUAAGGGUGGUUUUUAUAAAAUGUGUUGAGUGUUAAUNNNNNNNNNNNNNNNNNNNNNNCAACUUUAUAGAUGGCGUUAGAGCCUAUUUAGUAGAAGUCAAUACAGAUAAUUUUUGUAAAACAAUUCUAAAUUAUAAAAAUUUAUAGGAAAAUUUCAUUAGUUUGAAAGAUAUGAUGUUAAAAUUAGUAGAGAAUAAGAUAAUAUUGCUUGUAAAUUAAUCAAUCCUAACGUUGGAUGGAACAAUGGUUUAUUUAUAAUCGGGAAAUUAGUUUGUUUUGGUUGUCUACUAACACAAGUAAUACAUAAUAAAAUAGUAAAGGGAAAGGAACUCGGCAAAUAAAGAUUUNNNNNNNNNNNNNNNNNNNNCGCUCUUUGUAAAGAAUCUAAUAUAUAAAGGGUUCUGCCUGCCCAGUGACUUAGUUAAACGGCCGCGGUAUCUUGACCGUGCAAAGGUAGCAUAAUCAUUUGCCUUUUAAAUGGAGGCUGGUAUGAAUGGCAAGACGGAAAUUAAGCUGUCUCUCUCUUUUAUCUUGAAAUUAAUAUUCUUGUGAAGAAGCAGGAAUAGAGUCGUAGGACGAGAAGACCCUAUCGAGCUUUAGUAGAAAUAGAAUACAAAUUUGUUUAAUACUUUUUUGUUGCUAAUUAAUUGUUAUUAACAAUUUUUAUGGUUUUACUUACAAAAACAGUGGAAUUGUGUAUGUAAUACUUAGGUUGGGGCAACCACGGAGAAUAAUUAACCUCCGUUAGUUAUAUUGAAAAAAAAAUGUUUUUUCAGUAUAAGAAUUAUUUAAUAAGUGAUCCAUCUUAAUGGUGAACAAAAGAAUAAGUUACCGUAGGGAUAACAGCGUAAUUUUUUUGGAGAGUUCAUAUUGAUAAAAAAGUUUGCGACCUCGAUGUUGGAUCGGGAUUUCCUGGGGAUGUAGCAGUUCCCAAUGGUUGGUCUGUUCGACCAUUAAAAUCCU
rnacentral:rRNA from 1 species